UACAGAGGGGGCGAGCGUUGUUCGGAAUUACUGGGCGUAAAGGGCGCGUAGGCGGCCAACUAAGUCAGACGUGAAAUCCCUCGGCUCAACCGGGGAACUGCGUCUGAUACUGGAUGGCUUGAAUUCGGGAGAGGGAUGCGGAAUUCCAGGUGUAGCGGUGAAAUGCGUAGAUAUCUGGAGGAACACCGGUGGCGAAGGCGGCAUCCUGGACCGAGAUUGACGCUGAUGCGCGAAAGCGUGGGGAGCAAACGGG
rnacentral:rRNA from 1 species